rnacentral:rRNA from 1 species
AGCUUACUACAUGACAAGUCGAACGAUGAAGCCUGGCUUGCUAGGUGGAUUAGUGGCGGACGGGUGAGUAAUAUAUCGGAACGUAUCCAAUAAUGGGGGACAACUAGCCGAAAGGUUAGCUAAUACCGCAUACGCCCUGAGGGGGAAAGCUGGGGAUCUUCGGACCUGGCGUUAUUGGAGCGGCCGAUAUCUGAUUAGCUAGAUGGUGGGGUAAUGGCCUACCAUGGCGACGAUCAGUAGCUGGUCUGAGAGGACGACCAGCCACACUGGGACUGAGACACGGCCCAGACUCCUACGGGAGGCAGCAGUGGGGAAUUUUGGACAAUGGGGGCAACCCUGAUCCAGCCAUUCCGCGUGAGUGAAGAAGGCCUUCGGGUUGUAAAGCUCUUUCACAAGGGAAGAAACGGCAUGCAUUAAUAGUGUGUGCUAACGACGGUACCUUGAGAAGAAGCACCGGCUAACUACGUG